ensembl:lncRNA
AUGCGCGCUGAGGCGCUCGGCCGUACCUCGGUGCUCGCCGCCCUCAGCCGUCGUGAGGAGAUUGCGCCGUUUUCCCCUGGGGAGCGGCUCCCGUUGGACCGCUGAGGACUUAAGUGAGGAAUAAGUUCUAAAUUUCUAAAAAGUCGUGCGUGUUUGAAGCAAAAAGAAACAAACAAAAAUCGGUUUUACAUUUCCGUGUAGCUGUCGAGAGGGCAGUUGGCCUGGUGUUUCUCCCUUCGGAAGAUGGAGUCGGGAGAACUCCCUGAGCGCGGCCGUUGUUCCCUCAGCGCCUCACACAGCACUGAGGGGCUGGAAGGAAGGAGCUCGCAGCCCGUCAGCCACCCGCCUGCAUUCGGGGGGGGACAGCCACCUUCGAAUUCCUUAGGAAGUCCUGUGAGAUGAGCAGUUGUCCCCACUCCGCAGUCGCUGCCUCUUGUUGCAGGAUAAGAUGCACGAAGCCACGCGCUGAGCAGCGCCCGUGCAGCUGGAACCUGCGCCGAGCACUGAGGGAAGGUGCUGCCCCUGGCACUGCACCGGGCUCCGGUUUGGGGACCCACCAGUGAAGCAGCUGCACUGCUCCGAACUGCGGAGAACAGAGCCUUCCUCCCAUGGGGGCACUGCCAAGUUCCCCGGGCACGUCCAGCGUCACCUCUUGCUUCUUGGUGAGCCCAAGCGCAGCAGCACCAGGCUGACGUCCUCCUGGAGGGGUGCGGACGGACUGACAGAUGCGGCCCUGCUGGCUGUGGGCAGGCAGCUCCAGGUUUCAGAACACCAGCUGAGGCCGCUUAGCCAUUGAUUCCAGCUGUGUUAACAUCGGAUUGGUGCAAAGUACUGCGAUAUGCGAGGAGCACGCAUUAGGCGAUCCUUCGGAAUUGCUCUGGCAGAUGAGAUCCAGCUACUUCCGUAUUCUCCCUUAGAGGCUUCAGAGGAAGACACAAAGAUUUUGAUCUCUCGCACUUCCUACUUAAUGUUCCUGUUGACUGACGUUCCCAUUAUCCUCAAAGAAUAUCCUGUGAAGUCCACAGAGCCCGUAGUUUCAAUGUUAUUUUGAACUGAGCUCCAAAUUGUGCUUUCAGUGGGAGAACAUUUUCUCAUUUCACCCAGGAUUUCUGCCUGUUUCUUUAAUGUAAGAGAUCCUUGCUUGCAGAGGGCAGCACCUGAAUUAGCCCCUCUGCACCAUGCAUCAAAUCUGAUGAGCAGCCCAAGCAAACCAAACCGCAGCCACAUGGAACGCUUGGCUCUGCUCUCUUGCGAGGAGUGUGGGGAGAUCCUUGCUCUGAGCACCAGUAUUCCCUGAUCAUGCCAACACCAUCCUUCCAGUUUAGUUUCUUCACCAUUCCCUGUAAAUUCUAAAAUUACAGAAAGAAAGCAAACACUGGCUGCUGAAAGAUAUUAUUCUCAUUUCUACAAGGCUUAUCUUCUGGUGCUCUAUAAUACCUUGGCAACCCCACAGAGGAUUCUGGUCCGGUUAUUUUUCCCAGAAUCAAGGCCUGGCUUCAUGCCACACUGAAGCAAGAAGUAUUCCCAUGAUGCUAAGGUGAUACAAGCUGAUAAAGCAGCAGCCACUUUUCAUCCUUCCAAAGAUAGCCCUUGAAUAACAGGCAAAGCUUUCUAUGUGGCUUUAUUCACAGUCAGCACUUAAAGGUGAGGCUCCCUUAAGAAUUAGGCACUUUAUUGAAACAAACAGGAAACCGGGAAAUACUUUUUAACCACUGAGAGAUUACACCACUAAAAAUCAGAACUGUAGAUCUCUCCUACUAUCUUUAAGCAGAAACACACAGCAGCAAAAAUACAACACUAUGAACCAUUUGCUUCAGUCAUGGCUAAUAGGCUUCACAUAGUUAACUACCUGCCUACUCCUCUGGUUUAUAUCCCAGCGUAAAACCAGCCCCUGCUAUUUCCAGGCCUUAGGACGUAUGCUUACCUAUAAGUUAAAGGCUCAUCAUGUGCAUUUUUAUGCUGAAGGUAUUAAAAAGGGAUCCAAGGGUGAGGGAAAAUCUGUUCGCAGACACUGGUAAUGUUU